UGCCGGUGACAAACCGGAGGAAGUGGGGAUGACGUCAAGUCCUCAUGGCCCUUAUAGGUGGGGCUACACACGUCAUACAAUGGCCGGUACAGAGGGUAGCCAACCCGCGAGGGGGAGCCAAUCCCACAAAGCCGGUCGUAGUCCGGAUCGCAGUCUGCAACUCGACUGCGUGAAGUCGGAAUCGCUAAUAAUCGCGGAUCAGCAUGUCGCGGUGAAUACGUUCCCGGGCCUU
rnacentral:rRNA from 1 species